rnacentral:rRNA from 1 species
AUUGAACGCUGGCGGCAUGCUUUACACAUGCAAGUCGAACGGUAACAGGCCUUCGGGUGCUGACGAGUGGCGAACGGGUGAGUAAUGCAUCGGAACGUACCCAGAGGUGGGGGAUAACGCAGCGAAAGCUGUGCUAAUACCGCAUGUGAUCUGAGGAUGAAAGCGGGGGACCGAGCAGCAAUGUUUGGCCUCGCGCCUUUGGAGCGGCCGAUGUCGGAUUAGCUAGUUGGUGGGGUAAAGGCCUACCAAGGCGACGAUCCGUAGCUGGUCUGAGAGGACGACCAGCCACACGGGAACUGAGACACGGCCCAGACUCCUACGGGGGGCAGCAGUGGGGAAUUUUGGACAAUGGGCGCAAGCCUGAUCCAGCAAUGCCGCGUGCGGGAAGAAGGCCUUCGGGUUGUAAACCGCUUUUGGCAGGAACGAAACGGUGUCCGCUAAUACCGGGCGCUAAUGACGGUACCUGCAGAAUAAGCACCGGCUAACUACGUG